rnacentral:rRNA from 1 species
ACGGAGUUACAAAGGACGACAUUAGACGAAUCAUCUGGAAAGAUGAAUCAAAGAAGGUAAUAAUCCUGUAGUCGAAAAUGUUGUCUCUCUUGAGUGGAUCCUGAGUACGACGGAGCACGUGAAAUUCCGUCGGAAUCUGGGAGGACCAUCUCCUAAGGCUAAAUACUCUCUAGUGACCGAUAGUGAACCAGUACCGUGAGGGAAAGGUGAAAAGCACCCCGGAAGGGGAGUGAAAUAGAACCUGAAACCGUGUGCUUACAAGUAGUCAGAGCCCGUUAAUGGGUGAUGGCGUGCCUUUUGUAGAAUGAACCGGCGAGUUACGAUUUGAUGCAAGGUUAAGCAGUAAAUGUGGAGCCGUAGCGAAAGCGAGUCUGAAUAGGGCGUUUAGUAUUUGGUCGUAGACCCGAAACCAGGUGAUCUACCCUUGGUCAGGUUGAAGUUCAGGUAACACUGAAUGGAGGACCGAACCGACUUACGUUGAAAAGUGAGCGGAUGAACUGAGGGUAGCGGAGAAAUUCCAAUCGAACCUGGAGAUAGCUGGUUCUCUCCGAAAUAGCUUUAGGGCUAGCCUCAAGUGAUGAUUAUUGGAGGUAGAGCACUGUUUGGACGAGGGGCCCCUCUCGGGUUACCGAAUUCAGACAAACUCCGAAUGCCAAUUAAUUUAACUUGGGAGUCAGAACAUGGGUGAUAAGGUCCGUGUUCGAAAGGGAAACAGCCCAGACCACCAGCUAAGGUCCCAAAAUAUAUGUUAAGUGGAAAAGGAUGUGGCGUUGCCCAGACAACUAGGAUGUUGGCUUAGAAGCAGCCAUCAUUUAAAGAGUGCGUAAUAGCUCACUAGUCGAGUGACACUGCGCCGAAAAUGUACCGGGGCUAAACAUAUUACCGAAGCUGUGGAUUGUCCUUUGGACAAUGGUAGGAGAGCGUUCUAAGGGCGUUGAAGCAUGAUCGUAAGGACAUGUGGAGCGCUUAGAAGUGAGAAUGCCGGUGUGAGUAGCGAAAGACGGGUGAGAAUCCCGUCCACCGAUUGACUAAGGUUUCCAGAGGAAGGCUCGUCCGCUCUGGGUUAGUCGGGUCCUAAGCUGAGGCCGACAGGCGUAGGCGAUGGAUAACAGGUUGAUAUUCCUGUACCACCUAUAAUCGUUUUAAUCGAUGGGGGGACGCAGUAGGAUAGGCGAAGCGUGCGAUUGGAUUGCACGUCUAAGCAGUAAGGCUGAGUAUUAGGCAAAUCCGGUACUCGUUAAGGCUGAGCUGUGAUGGGGAGAAGACAUUGAGUCUUCGAGUCGUUGAUUUCACACUGCCGAGAAAAGCCUCUAGAUAGAAAAUAGGUGCCCGUACCGCAAACCGACACAGGUAGUCAAGAUGAGAAUUCUAAGGUGAGCGAGCGAACUCUCGUUAAGGAACUCGGCAAAAUGACCCCGUAACUUCGGGAGAAGGGGUGCUCUUUAGGGUUAACGCCCAGAAGAGCCGCAGUGAAUAGGCCCAAGCGACUGUUUAUCAAAAACACAGGUCUCUGCUAAACCGUAAGGUGAUGUAUAGGGGCUGACGCCUGCCCGGUGCUGGAAGGUUAAGAGGAGUGGUUAGCUUCUGCGAAGCUACGAAUCGAAGCCCCAGUAAACGGCGGCCGUAACUAUAACGGUCCUAAGGUAGCGAAAUUCCUUGUCGGGUAAGUUCCGACCCGCACGAAAGGCGUAACGAUUUGGGCACUGUCUCAACGAGAGACUCGGUGAAAUCAUAGUACCUGUGAAGAUGCAGGUUACCCGCGACAGGACGGAAAGACCCCGUGGAGCUUUACUGUAGCCUGAUAUUGAAAUUCGGCACAGCUUGUACAGGAUAGGUAGGAGCCUUUGAAACGUGAGCGCUAGCUUACGUGGAGGCGCUGGUGGGAUACUACCCUAGCUGUGUUGGCUUUCUAACCCGCACCACUUAUCGUGGUGGGAGACAGUGUCAGGCGGGCAGUUUGACUGGGGCGGUCGCCUCCUAAAAGG